GGACUACUCGGGUUUCUAAUCCUGUUUGCUCCCCGCACUUUCGCGCCUCAGCGUCAGUCAUUGGCUAGAAGUUCGCCUUCGCCACCGGUGUUCUUCCUGAUAUCUACAGAUUUCACCCCUACACCAGGAAUUCCAACUCCCCCUCCAUGACUCUAGUUCUAAAGUUUCCAACGCAGUUAAUGAGUUAAGCUCAUUCCUUUCACGCCAGACUUCCAGAACCGCCUACGCGCCCUUUACGCCCAAUAAUUCCGAACAACGCUCGCCCCUUACGUGUUACCGCGGCGGCUGGCAC
rnacentral:rRNA from 1 species